CCUUUGAUCAUUCCUCAUCACCAAUCCCACAGUUACUAAAGAACUAAUAAUUUGGCCACCUUUGCAAUUCCUAACAGUUCAUUCAUCCCUUUCCAAUGGCCAGUCUUGAUCAGGUUGAAAUUCCAGCACAGGAAGUUGCUCCUGAAGUCAAGCCCCAGCAGCAGAAGUUGCUGCUGAAGUAGCAGCUCCAGCUGCGGCUGAAAUUGCGGCCCCAGCCGCAGCUGAAGUAGAAGCGUCAGCAGCUGCUGAACUCACUUUUACAGAACGAGCCCCAGCACCAGAAGCCUAAGGGGGAAGGAAUGAUCUGUUCGGCUUGUCGACCCAUGUACAUAUAUAUAUAUAUAUAUUGUGUGAAUGUCCUUUAAUAAAGAUGAGAUGAGAGUUCAUCUCUAGGUGUGAAUAAUGAGAAGAACAUUGAUCUUAAUCAUUUACAGUAGUUUGAAAAUUAUAAGUCAAUGUGUUCAAUUUUUUGCUCUGUAUUAUAUAGUUCGUAUAAAAUGGUGCAUAUUCAAUAUCGACUAAGCUUUAUUGUACUGUAUCAAUUAGCUAAGCUUGAUGAA